rnacentral:rRNA from 1 species
UACGUAUGGGCGAAGCGUUAUCCGGAAUUAUUGGGCGUAAAGAGUGCGUAGGUGGUUACCUAAGCGCAAGGUUUAAUCUUGAGGCUCAACCUCAUUCUGCCUUGCGAACUGGGCUACUUGAGUGCUGGAGGGGAAAGCGGAAUUCCCAGUGUAGCGGUGAAAUGCGUAGAUAUUGGGAAGAACACCGGUGGCGAAGGCGGCUUUCUGGACAGUAACUGACACUGAGGCACGAAAGCGUGGGGAGGCGAAACAGGAUUAGAUACCCGGGUAGGUCCCUGA